CCUACGGGUGUCAGCAGUGAGGAAUAUUGGUCAAUGGGCGUAAGCCUGAACCAGCCAAGUCGCGUGAGGGAUGAAGGCUCUAUGGAUCGUAAACCUCUUUUAUAAGGGAAUAAAGUGUGGGACGUGUCCUAUUUUGUAUGUACCUUAUGAAUAAGGAUCGGCUAACUACGUGCCAGCAGCCGCUGUUAUACGGAGGAUCCGAGCGUUAUCCGGAUUUAUUGGGUUUAAAGGGUUGGUUAGUGGCCCUUUAAGGCAGAGGUGAAAGUCUGGGGAUCAACCAUAGAAGUGCCGUUGAAACUGGGGGGCUUGAGUAUGUUUGAGGCAGGCGGAAUGCGUGGUGUAGCGGUGAAAUGCUUAGAUAUCACGCAGAACCCCGAUUGCGAAGGCAGCCUGCCAAGCCAUGACUGACGCUGAUGCACGAAAGCGUGGGGAUCGAACAGGAUUAGAUACCCGUGUAGUC
rnacentral:rRNA from 1 species